UAUUAUGACCGUGCUAAGGUAGCAUAAUCAUUAGUCUUUUAAUUGGAGGCUGGAAUGAAUGGUCGGACAAGAGAUAAGCUGUCUUAAGUAAAAAUAUUGAAUUUAACUUUUAAGUGAAAAGGCUUAAAUCCUCUAGGGGGACGAUAAGACCCUAUAAAACUUUAUAUUUUGAAAUAAUAAUUAAUUUUGUGUGGGAGAUUUAUUUUUAAGUAUUUUAUUGGGGUGAUAAGGAUAAAAUAAUAAAUAACUGUCUUUUUUUAUUACAGUAAUAUUUGAGCAAAUGAACCUAGUAAGGGAAAGAAGAUUAAGUUACUUUAGGGAUAACAGCGUAAUUUUUUUUAAGAGUUCUUAUCGACAAGAAAGUUUGCGACCUCGAUGUUGAAUUAAAAAUUCUUUAUAGAGCAGAAACU
rnacentral:rRNA from 1 species